rnacentral:misc_RNA from 1 species
UUUCCGUAGGUGAACCUGCGGAAGGAUCAUUAGCGAAGCUCGGAAUGCCAGUCCGGUACUGCAGCUGCCCAGCGAUGGGAUGUGCUCGUCUGGGCUGGUGUCCCUUCUCUAUUCCACCCCACUGUGAACCAAGUGUGCGAGCAGAAGAGAGAUCGGAAGCUCGCAUGCUCACUUUAACAUACCCCCGAUUAAGUAUCUGAAUGUACCUUGCGUUAACUCGCACAAAUACAACUUUCAACAACGGAUCUCUUGGCUCUC